CUGCUGUGUCACUGGCUUCUUCCAGAAGUGUAUCAACAACCACUGAGCAGAGCUGCAGUAUCAGAUUAAACCAAAGAGAAACAUUUUAAACAAGGAACUAUGCUGUGACUGAUAUUUUCAGCACUGCACUAUGCAACUAACUGGAUAUUUUCCUGCUGUGGUCCUUCUGUGACGGAUGGGGCAUCUACAGGAUACCAGUGUAAAGGGCAGACAGUGUGGACAGUCCAGAGUGAUGAAAAACUAUCCAGUCAGAAUCUGUCAUAAUAGUUCUCCACGGGGUGAACUGAAAAGAUGGCCACAUUUAUCUACCUGCUGUGAAGUUGAUCCAUCUUCAGCAUAACAAUGUUUGCUUCUGUGAUGUGCUGUACUUGUUAUAAUGACGACUUGUCUGAAAGCUCCUUGUUAGGAAGCUGGAUAAUGUCUGACAGCUGACAAGCAUACACCAUGGGCUCUGUUGGGUUCAAUGUUCACUUAUAUGGUAAAAUGUAAUGUGGUGAA